rnacentral:rRNA from 1 species
CAGUAGCCGCGGUAAAACGGAGGGCGCGAGCGUUACCCGGAUUUACUGGGCGUAAAGGGCGUGUAGGCGGCCUGGGGCGUCCCAUGUGAAAGGCCACGGCUCAACCGUGGAGGAGCGUGGGAUACGCUCAGGCUAGAGGGUGGGAGAGGGUGGUGGAAUUCCCGGAGUAGCGGUGAAAUGCGCAGAUACCGGGAGGAACGCCGAUGGCGAAGGCAGCCACCUGGUCCACUUCUGACGCUGAGGCGCGAAAGCGUGGGGAGCAAACCGGAUUAGAUACCCCAGUAGUCCCUGUCUCUUAUAC